rnacentral:lncRNA from 1 species
AAGGAACAGCUGCUCCUCGCUCAUGGCAAUUUCUGAGCCCGAGGAAGAUGCCCCCGCUUCUUCUUCAACUUGUCCCUCCACAACCGGUGGCUGCUCAGGCACCUCUUCAACGCGAGCCUGAGGUUCCUAUCCAACACUUAUAAAAGUAAAUUAAAAAAACGGAAAAAUUCGGCAUGACCUAUGCUGUAAAACAAGAAACUUUCGGCAUGACCAUUGUUGUAAAACAACAAAUGAGUCUACCCGAAUGUUAUAUAUGCAUAAAAAAACUCUCACCCACAUAUACCCCCUCGGCAUGAUGGCCGGACCCUUCUCAACGACCCGGCACGAUGGCUGGGCCCACAUUCGUCAUAUCAACCGACACGAUGGUCGGGAUCACAUGCAUGUAUCAUUAAACCAUCAACAGCAAUAACAUCAAUACUUAACCAUAAACAGCAAUAUAAACCCUAAAUAGCUAGAACUAAACAUAAACAACAAUAUUUAAACCCUAACUAAACAUAAACAGCAACCCUAAUUAAAAAAAAUAGCAAGAUUCAACCCUAACUAACUAUAGAACUAAACAUAAACAAAAAUAUUUAAACCCUAACUAAACAUAAACAAUAAGAUUCAACCCUAAUUAAGAAAACAGCAAGAUUCAACCCUAAUUAACUAUAGAACUAAAGAUUUUAAACCCUAACUAAACAUAAACAAUAAGAUUUUAAACCCUAACUAAACAUAAACAAAAAAUUAAACCUAACCCUAACCCUUACCUCGGCAGGGGCGGUGACGGCGGCGGUGUCGGCCGCCGUGGUGGUGGCGUCGGCGG